rnacentral:rRNA from 1 species
CACGUAGGGGGCGAGCGUUGUCCGGAUUUAUUGGGCGUAAAGAGCUCGUAGGUGGCUCGGUAAGUCGGGUGUGAAAUUUCGAGGCUCAACCUCGAAACGCCACCUGAUACUGCUGUGGCUAGAGUCCGGUAGGGGAGCGUGGAAUUCCUGGUGUAGCGGUGAAAUGCGCAGAUAUCGGGAGGAACACCGGUGGCGAAGGCGGUUCUCUGGGCCUUACCUGACGCUGAGGAGCGAAAGCGUGGGGAGCGAACAGG